UACGUAGGGUGCAAGCGUUAAUCGGAAUUACUGGGCGUAAAGCGUGCGCAGGCGGCUCGGAAAGCAAGAUGUGAAAUCCCAGGGCUUAACCUUGGAAUGGCAUUUUUAACUACCGGGCUAGAGUGUGUCAGAGGGGAGUGGAAUUCCACGUGUAGCAGUGAAAUGCGUAGAGAUGUGGAGGAACACCGAUGGCGAAGGCAGCCCCCUGGGAUAACACUGACGCUCAGGCACGAAAGCGUGGGGAGCAAACAGG
rnacentral:rRNA from 1 species